GAUGAACGCUGACAGCAUGCUUAACACAUGCAAGUCAACUGUGGCGGACGGGUGAGUAACGCGUAAAGAACUUGCCUCACAGCUAGGGACAUCGUUUGGAAACGAAUGCUAAUACCUGAAACUGGGAGAGAGCUUUGCGUCCCAUUAGCUAGUUGGAGAGGUAACGGCACACGAAGGCGAUGAUGGGUAGCCGGCCUGAGAGGGUGAUCGGCCACAAGGGGACUGAGAGACGGCCCGUACUCCUACGGGAGGCAGCAGUGGGGAAUAUUGGAAAACGGACCAAUGUGUGAUCAAGCAAUUCUGUGUGCACGAUGAAGUUUUCGGAAUGUAAAGUGCUUUCAGUUGGGAAGCGGUACCAACAGAAGAAGCGACGGCUAAAUACGUGCCAACAGCCGCGGUAAUAC
rnacentral:rRNA from 1 species